AUUUAUUUUACAUUUGUGAGUCACUGUGAAUUUCAAUGCUCAUGAAAGCGAUGGGCUAAUAAUAUCUUUUGGUACAGCCAAGCACAGUGGAGGCAAAUGCUCUGCAAGCUCUCUCACAAACCUCUGCCAAUACAAUACAUUCAGAGUCUUACUAUGGAAUACUCACUUUUUCCGAGGAAGAGAUUUCCAACAAUCCCAAACUGUGCCAAAUUAUGCAAGGUGAUUUUAUGAAGUGAACAUUGAAUGAUUUAGGCGCCUUAUCUGAACCAUUCCCCAAACAUAUUCACACUUAACUCUUCACCACUGUGGUCAUGGCUGUACAGGCAGGUGGAGAGAAGAGGGAACCUUUGGGCCAUCACUUGCUUCCACUGCAGCAGGAAAAGUGGAGCUCAGCUGCUUCUAUUGAGAUGGUCUUUGAUCAAAGGAUCCUCAUGAGCCAUCUAAUAAAGCCACACAAAACCCCGGCAUCAUUGUGAUAUAUGGUAAAGGAUUGGAGAGAUCACCACACAGCAUGGCUGCAGUCCAUAUCGACUCGUGAAAACUGAAUUAAACAGCAGCAUCUUUAUUAAUUUGGCUAUGGUAUGUGGUUUUGCAAGGUGCAAUGUAGGCUGUAUAUGUUGAACAUUACUGACCUAUAAAGAAAGAGCCAACAUUAGAACAUAUUGGAUACAGAUAAACGAUUUCAUGGAAUACAGUAGGAGAGAGCUGUUUUGCCAUUUUGAUCAUCUGGAUGAUUUUGAUGCUGAUCCCGUCUCCACAUUCUUUACGGAUAGCACCAAGAUAAAGGAACUGACUAGACUUUUACAUAUGCAGAUGAAAAUCACAGAAAUAGUCUCACCAUAGUAUCCAAGUGUCUUGCAGCAGUGCAUUAAACAACAUGACUACACAUCUGUCUUGUGUUGUUUGGAACUUGUGAUGUAAAAAAUCCAUUCCUCCAUUGUUCCACAGCACUCAAAGUCUUUAAGGAGAAUCAAAAACAAGACAGGAAGUUGAAACACUUCCUAUUUCACCAAUGCUGAUAAGGAUUUUAAGAUGGAGACACAGUGUGAAAAGUUAAAAGUGGAAAAUCUUCUUUCCACUGGAUAUUUCUAUUUAAAACUCAGCAAUGCAAACAAACUACAUUUUCUAUGCAUGUAUUCCACCCAUGACCAGUGCAUAUGCUGCAUCUGUACAUCUUACUUCUUUAAAGGUUUCAUUGAAGAUAAAUCACUGAUGGAUAAGGAAGAAUGGUGUGUUUGAUACAGAUAAAUGCUUUCAUGAGAAACCAUCUUUGUACCUGAUACAAUGGCAAAAUUGCUCAUGAACACUUCAUCCUUGAAAAAAUAUUACCACAUUAUUAGAGGCAGUUUUACCCCUGGGCUUAACAUGAGCUGUAGCUCAGGCAUGUUAUUAAGCUCAGACAGUAGGGAUGGUUUUUAACUGCACACCAGUCGAUGGACUAGAUAUUGGGAUACAAGGUAUUCAGGAAAUAAUUCCAUUGUAACUGCAGGACAUAGUCAUAUCAAGUCACUCAGAAUAUAUUUUCCAGCCCACUCAUUCUUACCUCAGCAAUACAGCUGAGAAAAUAUGAAAAACGGAGAGCCCCACACUGCAGAAUACAAAUUAGGGACAAUCAAGACAGUUCUAUUCCAGGUAGUCAAGUUCUUCUCCGGCUACCCCCUACUUACAGGGUCAAAUCAUGAUCCCAUUAAUUGAGGUCAAUGGGAAUUCUGUUGCUGUCUAAAACAAGAUCAAAAUUUGUUCCUUUCUGCUGUAAAGUUCAGCUGAGGUGUCUAUCAUAUAAGUGCUGUCUGUGCACAUCAGGAAUAGUUAGUAGCUAGUCAAACUUGCCUUCCCUUUCAAAACAAAGUAUUUUGUUUAUUAAUUCUUCUAUUCUCUGUCCCUAUUUAUGCAACAACUGCCUCAGUUACUUACCAGAAAGGGCUGGGGCAUCUUUGUCAUGCCAAAUAAUCCUUCUGGAUGAAUUCCCUUUUUGUGCACGGUACUUGUCAUGGUCAUACAGCAAUGCAAUUUUUUCUUGCCAGUUACAUGAACUUUGAUCUUAAGUGGGGCGCAAGUCAUUUCUAAACAAAGCCUUAAAAGUGAAACUGUAGGCAACUUCCAUGCCUAAGUUAUUACGAGAUUUUAAUUUUUCUGUGAUGGGAACAAUGGGAAUUGUUUGGCUGCUUCAUUUUCCAGUGGAGUGGUAUAAUAUGUAUUUUGUUUUCUGGCAGCUCUGAAUCUCACCAUUUCAUCUGAAAAUAUAACAUUUACCAUCAUAUGUUCUCCUUCUCUCUCCCUUACAUUGCAUUUCCAUCAAAUUAUUUUAAAUUAACAUUUAUUAUUGCUAAUUGUUAACAUUAAUGAAUUAUGAAUAGAAAAAAUAAUAUUGAUAAAGUCUCUCUUUUAACAACAACCUGGCACGUCUUCCUAAUGUGACAAACUCUGUUAAUGUUACAAAAUUGGUCAGUUUGGAGCCCACUUCCAUAUAUUUGUCACUGAUCUUGUAGCCAUUUACAAAAAAAGAUUUUAAAAAUGCCUUCAAAUCAGCAAAAUAACAUCAGCAACAUUCCUCUAUGUGAUUUAAUAAUGGAAAUGUUAGGCAUUACAAUUUUAAUAUGCAUGAAACCUUUAUGUUUUGUCAUAUUGUUUUGAAUGCUGCUUUUUUCUACUAUAUACUGUUCAGUAUUCAAAUCUACUACAAGCAACCUCUGUUUAGUUUAAAAAACAAACCAAUGGUACCUUGUGUGAUUCUGACCUUAAAACUUAUUUUAGACUUUCUGACUAUUUCUCGUAUAUGAAGAUGUGCACAUCAGACAGACACACAACAAUUCUUAAAAAUAGGGUCUGAGUUCUCUGUAGUUUUAAUUACUUCAGAGAACUCAUGGAUUUUGUUUCCUUCAGUGCAUGGUCUGGAGAUUAUGUAUAGGCAUAAGAAUAGAAUCUUCUCUGUUUCUGAUCCAGUGCAUUGAUGCUCCCUAUGAAUAUAGCACAAAGAGUGUAUUUCAAUAUAUUUAAAUGGACACUGGUAAUUUAAAAUCUCUUGAUCAAUUUUUUAUUUUGAAAAUUUUAUUUUUGGUGUAAUUUGAUUAAUUGUGUUUUUAGGAAACAUUUGCCUGUACAAACAUUGAUGUCCAAUAAUGUUGUUUCCUACUGUAUAUUUGCAACUUUGGAUUUCUGAAAAAAAAAUGCUAGAUGUUUACAUGAGUAAUACCUGCCUGCUGAGGCUUCCACGGUUUUUAUUAACUUGCAAAUAUUUAUCCUCGGUAGCCUUUAUCUGAAGAAUUUUUUAAAUGUCAGUGGCCACAAAAGAAACCCUUAGACCAUUUUACAACCUAAAUUAUCUCUCCACUUUACUAUUCCCACUAAAAUAACCUCAAGGACCUAAAGUACACAUGAGUAACAGCCUAUGACAAUUUUGACUGUUUACCUUUUCAAGGAAGCUAGAAUUCAAAUCCUGAGGAAGUCUGUAAAAGAUGUUCCUUCUGUUCCAUCUAAUGAUUGUUAAUCCUGCAGAGCACCAGAAAUCAUACAGUCGACCAAUAUACUUUACUGCAGUUGCUAAGAAUUUGUCUUAACAUCAGUGUGUUUAAAGUAUAUAUAAAGUACAUGACGUAUGCUGAAGAUGAGCUCUGUAAUCAAAUGUCAGUGAAACUGUGCAUGAGGAUUCAACACUUUUCUCAAACGUAUACACAAUACUGGUUUGUGCAGGAAGAGCACAUUACUAUAAUACAUUUUAUUUAUAUAGUGCCUGUCAGGAAACGCAUACA